GCAUAUUUCACGUUUGUGCGUGAAUCUGACAACCCUUUUUUCAUCAUUAAAUCUAUUUUUAUCUCAUGGGUUGUGUUUGUUAGAUUCACGCACAAACUCGCAAUAUGUCU
rnacentral:pre_miRNA from 1 species